UCUGGUUGAUCCUGCCAGUAGUGAUAUGCUUGUUUCAAAGAUUAAGCCAUGCAUGUCUAAGUAUAAGCGAACUUAUACAGUGAAACUGCGGAUGGCUCAUUAAAACAGUUUGAAUUUAUUUGAUGAAUGUAUGAGAAUACUACUUGGAUAACCGUAGUAAUUCUAGAGCUAAUACAUGCAACGACGCCCGACCGUUUCACUACGGAAGGGCUGUAUUUAUUGGAUACCAAAACCAUCCUUCCCUCGGGAAGUUUUGUUUGAUGAUUCACAAUAACUGAUCGGAUCGCCACUGUGGUGGCGACAGGUCAUUCAACAUUCUGCCCUAUCAGCUUUCGAUGGUUGUGUAGUGGACAACCAUGGCCAUAACGGGUAACGGAGAAUCAGGGUUCGAUUCCGGAGAAGGAGCUUGAGAAUUGGCUACUACAUCUAUGGAAGGCAGCAGGCGCGCAAAUUACCCAAUCCCGAUUCGGGGAGGUAGUGACAAAAAAUAACAAUACCGGGCCUUUUUGGGCUUGGUAAUUGGAAUGAGGGAGAGUUAAACGGACCAUCGAGUAUCCAUUGGAGGGCAAGUCUGGUGCCAGCAGCUGCGGUAAUACCAGCUCCAAUAGCGUAUAUUAAAGUUGUUGCAGUUAAAAAGCUCGUAGUUGGACUUGUGUGCGCUGUCCGCGGGUGGCCUGCGCCCAAAAGGGCGUUUCGGUUCGGCCCCGGUGGCGCCUUGAAAUCUGCAGCUGGGGGGACGUUGGCCUUAACUGGUCGGCGACCGCACGCCGGCUGCUCGGUUACUGUGAGAAAAUUAGAGUGUUCAAGGCAGGCAUUGGGUGCAAUUGAAUACAUUAGCAUGGAAUAAUAAAAUAUGGCUCCUGCCGUAUUUUGUUGGUUUUUACUGGUGGGAGUAAUGAUUGAUAGGGACGGUUGGGGGUGCUAGUAUUGAGCGGCCAGAGGUGAAAUUCAUGGAUUCGCUCAAGACUAACUUAUGCGAAAGCAUUCACCAAGGACGUCCUCUUUAAUCAAGAACGAAAGUUGGGGGAUCGAAGACGAUCAGAUACCGUCGUAGUCUCAACCAUAAACUAUGUCGACUUGGGAUCGGCGGUAGUUUUUUCAUUAAGACACUGUCGGGACCACGGGAGAAAUCAAAGUGUCUGGACUCUGGGGGAAGUAUGGUCGCAAGGCUGAAACUUGAAGGAAUUGACGGAAGGGCACCACCAGGAGUGGAGCCU
rnacentral:rRNA from 1 species